rnacentral:snRNA from 1 species
GAUCCGUAACUUCGGGAA